rnacentral:lncRNA from 11 species
CCUAUUUCAAGUGCUGUCAAUUUCCAAACUUAUUAAAAGAGCCAGAAGAAUGAGAAGCAGAAGGUCGACUUGCCCAUCAAAUAAUGACAGCUGGACAACAAACAGAGCAGAAUGCUCAGUACUGCCUACCUCUUUUGGGAACUUGAGAACUAUCCAAGUAUCCUCAUCCAUGAUACUAACAUGGCCAUGCUGCCAACUGGCAUUUCUGUGGUGUCCAGAUGGCACGGUGAACAAGGAGAAACAGUUCCAUCAUGCCUCAGUCCAAUUCCCCUUUUACCUGAGUAUUAUAUUUCAACUACUGUGUACAUUUUAUUACUGGAGUCUAAACCAUCAGAAUUUCUGAAGACGGAUGCCAGCAAAGAGAUUUUUAUCUUGACAGGAACAGCAGUAAGAUGAUGAGUGUCUUCCUGACACUCCUCAAAGAGACAAUAAUAAGGCCUGAGAGAAGCACCAUAACAGAACAAUUUUACCUCUUUUAAUCUAUUGUGAGUAACAUUCUCAAACUUCAAGGUUGUCGCUCCUAGAUAAGUUGCAUGGAUGGAUUCCAAAAUCAGGUUUGUUAUUAACUUUCCAAAGAGAAGACAAUUUGUCCUUCUAAGC